ACCACCACCACCUUGCCAGGCAAGAGUUCCAGCUAUUCCCACGUGCUCUGGUGCUUGCUUACUUGCGAGUAAGCCUCCCUGAACUGGGCUGCACCUGCUGUAUGGCGAACAGACAAAGGGAUCGGGGCAGAGAUGGAAGGAUGACCUGGAGAAACCUUGUUUUCCUGUGGGGGGUGGUGGUGGAGAGUAGAGCACCUGUUGAAUAUCUGCCUGUGGGUCGCAGGGCAUUUAAAGGCACAGAUAAACAUCAAUGGGGGUGGGGUGUGGAAAGCCAGAUUAUAUAUUUAAUAUGUAUAUUACAGGGCUUAGGAUAGUGUCUGGCCAGAAUGGCUUGCAAAAUUCAAAACGGUGGAAACUUAUGAAAGAAUCAGGAAACUUUUUAUUUCUUCUUAGGUGUGCAAGAUUGCACAGUUAAAGAUGCCUGCUAGAGUUUUCCCGGAUGGGGAGUUCCAAAGUCUGGGUUCCCAUUGAAGAUGAGGGCCGCUCUUCCAUGGCUACAGAAAAAAAAAACGUGCAAAUCUUACUUGUGUACUACAGUUCCUAUAAUCCACCAGCUGCCAUCACCACGCUGGCUGGGGGAUUCUGGGUGGUGUGUUCCACGAAAGUAUCCUCAAUAAGCUUGCAAAGAAUUUGCUUCAUUGCAUUUGUUAAAUACAGUACAUCAUAAAAUAGGUGUCUCUAGGCAUUAAGCACGGCAGUUUAUAAUAUUUCCAACAUUUAAAAAAUUCAGCUGGAUCACAAUAAAACACUCAUGAUGAGCACAACACAAAAGGAAGCGGAGAUCAGGGAAGACUUGUGUGGAGGCACCUUUGAAGGCUGGCAGAUGUAUUAUGGCAGAGCCGCAGGUGAGGUGGGAAUUAAAUUCAGGAGGGGAAAGAAGGCAAAAAAAAAAAUCAGUAAUGGUGCUACUUUACUGGUUUCGUUUUACCUUUUCCGUAGCAUUGCAAAAUGCAAUAACCGAAGGCAAUCCACACAAAAACCCAGCCAGGCUCCCUAGGAAAGAUGGGAAGGGAUCCUAUGGAACUCAGUGGGAUUUACUUCUGUGUAAAAGACUACGGCUUCUAGAAUCCCUCAGAGGCUGUACUGGCUCAGAGAGGGCAGGAGCUUUACUCGGAAAAUAUAACUUUUUCAAGGAGCAAUUAUGAUCUGUACCAGAGCGAUGGAUGCAUAUAAAUCCCUUUGUGUGUUUGUGUGUGUUCUAGGCUGUCAAGUCAGAACCGGCGUAUAGCGACCUCAGUAGAGAGCUUCCAAGUUAAGUGAGAUAUUCAAGAAGUGGCUUGGCCAGUUCCACCCCUCCAGUGACCUUUCAUGGCCAAGUGGAGAUUUGAACCCUGUUCUCCAGAGUCCCAGUCUUAUCACUCUAUCCACUGCGUCACACUGGAAAUCCAUUGGUGUCGAUUUACAUGGCAUUGGCUUCUAAACCCGCAGCCACAAAACUGUCCGGUCUUAUUUAAAGUUUCUGUUGUUGCUGGCGGUCCGCAUCUCAGUGCUUUCCACCCUCUUUCAACUGGAGUUUGUGGUCCAGCCAGUAACCUCUGAUGAAUGGGAAGAGAAAGGAUCAGGUUUCUGAAGUUGAGCGACUUUCAUGUUUCUCAAUACAUGAAAGGGAAAGCUAUUUGCAUUUAGCCAGAUCAUGUGGAUCAUACGGCAGCAUUUUUAUUAGAAGGAAGAAAUAGGUGGAAGAGAGAGUGACAAAUACAGUUGUGCCCCUCUGAACAAUUACCCCGCAUUACGAUGAAUCCGCUUCACGACGAAGUUUUUGCAAUCACAAUUGCGACCACAAAACUAUGGUCUAAAUGGGGUUUUUUUCACUUUGCAAAGAUCGGUUCCCUGCUUCAGGAACUCAUUCUUCGCAUUACGACGAUCAAAACAGCUGAACGUCGGGUUUUCAAAAUGGCCACCGGGUGCUCAAAAUGGCUCCCUGCUGAGCUUAGGGAUGGAUUCCUUGCUAUACAGGCACAGAAAAUGGCCACUGUAUCUAGGAUCUUCGCUGGACGGUGAGUUUUUAGCCCAUUGGAAUGCAUUAACCGGGUUUUAAUGCGUUUCAAUGGGUUUUUUAGUUUUGCUAUACGACGUUUUCGCUCUACA
ensembl:lncRNA